rnacentral:rRNA from 1 species
GGAGGAUGCGAGCGUUAUCCGGAUUUAUUGGGUUUAAAGGGUGCGUAGGCGGUUUGAUAAGUUAGAGGUGAAAUGUCGGGGCUCAACCCCGAAACUGCCUUUAAUACUGUUGGACUAGAGAAUAGUUGCGGUAGGCGGAAUGUAUGGUGUAGCGGUGAAAUGCUUAGAGAUCAUACAGAACACCGAUUGCGAAGGCAGCUUACCAAACUAUAUCUGACGUUGAGGCACGAAAGCGUGGGUAGCAAACAGGAUUAGAUACCCUGGUAGUCCACGCAGUAAACGAUGAUAACUCGUUGUCGGCGAUACACAGUCGGUGACUAAGCGAAAGCGAUAAGUUAUCCACCUGGGGAGUACGUUCGCAAGAAUG